ACGCACCACUGGUGUUCGGGUUGUCAUGCCAAUGGCAUUGCCCGGUAGCUAAGUGCGGAAGAGAUAACCGCUGAAAGCAUCUAAGCGGGAAACUUGCCUCGAGAUGAGUCUUCCCUGUCGCUUUAAGCGACCUAAAGGAACGUUUAAGACUAAGACGUUGAUAGGCUGGGUGUGUAAGCGUAGCGAUACGUUGAGCUAACCAGUACUAAUGAACCGUGAGGCUUAACCUGACAACACCGAAAGUGUUUUG
rnacentral:rRNA from 1 species